rnacentral:rRNA from 1 species
GAUGAACGCUGGCGGCGUGCUUAACACAUGCAAGUCAAACGAAGCACUUUAUUUGAUUUCCUUCGGGACUGAUUAUUUUGUGACUGAGUGGCGGACGGGUGAGUAACGCGUGGGUAACCUGCCUUGUACAGGGGGAUAACAGUUGGAAACGGCUGCUAAUACCGCAUAAGCGCACAGCAUCGCAUGAUGCAGUGUGAAAAACUCCGGUGGUAUAAGAUGGACCCGCGUUGGAUUAGCUAGUUGGUGAGGUAACGGCCCACCAAGGCGACGAUCCAUAGCCGACCUGAGAGGGUGACCGGCCACAUUGGGACUGAGACACGGCCCAAACUCCUACGGGAGGCAGCAGUGGGGAAUAUUGCACAAUGGGCGAAAGCCUGAUGCAGCGACGCCGCGUGAGCGAAGAAGUAUUUCGGUAUGUAAAGCUCUAUCAGCAGGGAAGAUAAUGACGGUACCUGACUAAGAAGCACCGGCUAAAUACGUG